GCUUUUAAAGUUAGUGAGAUGUGUGUGUACCUGGUGUGGUAACACAGUGACCCUACAGGGAUAUAUAUGUUUUUAUUUUAUAAACUAAAUGACUGUUUUCUCUUACUGUAGGUAGCUGCCCCAUCCAUGUCCCCUCUACAUUUUGUUGAACAUUCAAAUGAGCAUGGGCUGUAACUUGUGGAGAGACUGCAAGAAAUAGAGACCUUCCACCAUCUUCCAGGACUGCAUGCAAGCUGCAGACAUACUCCAACUUGGACUGAAUUUGACCUGAAGGAAUGCUCCUGCAUCAUUCCAACAGGAAAGUAAUGUUUUUAUUUACAUGUGCAGAAACACUCUGACUUUCUCGCACCAUCACUACGUUUAACAGAUUAGUUUGUGAGAAUAUUUGGGAUUUAUUUUUUGGUACUGGGGAUCAAACUCAGGCCCUCGUGCUUGUGCAGCAGGCAGCAAAACCACUGAGCUAAAUCCUCAGCCCUUUGUGAGAAUAUUUGGAACAAAUUCAAGUGAAGUAAUCUCUGCUGAACAAGUUUCUUCCUGUGAGCAAUCCCUCAAGGAACAACACUUGGGUCUUUCCAAGAAAUAGUGGCAAACUGCUAAGUGAUAUGAAGACCUCUAAUGUGAAAAUUAAAAUUUUCAAAUUGUAAUGAUGGAUAAGCUAGGAGUUGCACAUUGUGACACAUUAAGUAAAUCAAGAAAUAUCUAAUCCAGCCUGAAAGAGGAAGCAGUCUAACUUCCUUCACCAACCACAAACUAGCAAAUAUGCCCUUCCUCACUGUCUGAGAGUCUCUACCCAAAGAAUUCUGAGGCUCAGAGGAAGGAACUUGGAACUGGAAAAUCCACUGUAGUUCUAAUUCUUGAAAAGACAGAUAACCAUAGUUUCUCACUUCUAUUGGAGUGGAAGUUUUUGAUCAAGGCCUGAGUUUUGUCUGAUGGACCAUAAUGGUCUUCCUUCUAUAAUGCAAUCCCUUAAUUUCAGUCCCAUAUUAAUUUAACAACUGCUUCUACAAGAAUUAAAGUUUUUUAAAGGAAAAUAUGAACAGUGGUUAUGGUCUUCCAAGGUUACUUCCUUAAUUUGUCUUGCUAUUGGGUCCAAUGAGCUCCUACUGUCCUGUUUUGUUACAAAUUGGAUCAUGUGUGUUUGAAAGUCUCAAGGUACAGGGUCACAUACAUACCUCACUGAACCCAAUGAAGAUCUGUACCAGGUGAUGGGUUCUGGUAGAACCUUCCUACCAAGUGCAUUUAAUCCAGAACCCUCAGAUGUAGCAUGUAUUAUUUCCAAGAGAAACUACAUGUCUAAUCAAUGUGCCUAUCUAAUUGCAAAGUAGUAAAAGAUGUAGAGCUGUAUCUUUAAUUUGGAAGAAUCACCUAAUAUGAUCAAACUUCUGUUGCUUAAAUUAUUUCUCAAAGCUGGAGAAUUUAUGUAUUCUAAUGCAGCCUCUAUAUCUCUUCCAGUAAGAAAAUACUUCAAAAUUUUUAACUGGUGUAAAUGUUGUCAGAAAAUCUUGAUAUGCUUCAUAGUUAACAGUGCAUUUCUCAAUGACUCUUAGAGAAAAUAAAUCAUGAUUGAAGCCACCCCUUUAAAUUCUUUUGCUGCUUCAAAUAGUUAUGUAUGUGACCCCGCAUCCAAAGUCUUAAUGACACAGAAGGUCCAAUAUCUAGCUACACAUACUCAGACAAGCUCAGUGCAGGUGCAGCAAAGCCAAAAUAAGGGAGUGAGAUGGAAGAAAUAAGCACUGCUCUCUGAAAAAUAGCUUUCAUGUGGAAUCAGUUAUUCGUUUAAUAUUGAAUUGAAAUGAGACUGAAUUAACAGAUGUGAUGAUCUUUCUGGUUGCAACUGACACAGAUUCAUACUUGGAACACAAGCUUCCAAUCCAACUAAUGGUGCAGAGCAAGGAUCACAUAAUCUAAUUCUGUGCAAGAAUCAGGUCAACUGCAGCAGAUUCUCCAGUGCACAGCUACCUGCUCCUAGCCUCAGGCUCCCUGAACAGAUGCUUCUCAGAGUUAGAGUGAGGCUGUCAUUAGCUGGGCUGGGGUGGGAGAGAGCACUGGAAGUGCUUUCCCUUCAUGCUGUUUAAGUUUACUUGCCUGACAUAAAUAGUUCAUGAGGUGUGCACCUCAUAGUUUAUAAAUCAAUACACUAAAUUUUUUUACAUUACAUUGCACUCUUUUACAUUACAUUUACAUUACAAUACAAGUCUUCACAUCACUGGGAGUCAGCUACUCUUUCUUGGCAAAACCCAAGUCUACUUCCUCUAGGGAUUUUGCAUGGGAAGAAACCUGUUCAGAGGCAAUUACUGCACUUGAGUAUGUUCCAAAUACUCUAAUAAAUGAAUCUAUUAAAAGAUUAGUGAUGCAAAAGGUCAUAGGCUGUAUCUGCAGAUAUAAAUGGAGGAGUUACUCUCCUGUUAGAAUGAGCCAAGAGGUUCCUGAAAACUCAGAUUCUUCCCAAGCUUGCAUAUGUGUUCAGUUGGUAUCUAGUCCUGGGCAUGCCCUGUUUUCUUAUUGUAUUAUCAUGGUUCAUAGAAAUUAGUGGAAGUACUCAAUUUCCUGGGAUGACAUUGUGAAGAUCCAGGGACAAUGGUUUUAAUUUCUUAAAAAAUGAGGCCUCGGGAAAAUGUCAUUUGGAUGGCUACAAGAUGGAAAACCACUGCUUCUACUUCUGAGAAACCUUUAUCAUCAACAUUUCCAAGAAACUAAAUUUAAGCCUUUGCCUUGUUAGAUACAUGGCUUAUUUACCAGGUACAACAAUGUUACUGUAAACCAUGAAGCGAAAGUCCUUUUCAGUCAUUGGACCAUAAUUGAGUAAAAAGAGAAAAUUUCCCUGAAUAUAUUUUUGCAUUAUUAAAUUUUUGUGUAUUUUGCCUCUAAAUAAUGGAUUUGGAUCAAUUAAUUUACACUAACCAGGUCAUUUUUAAAAUUACUGCCCCAAGUUAGCAUUUUUAUGAAGAUGGUUUCUGAGCAGGUGAGAAUAUUCAAUUGUAUUUGCACAACACAUAUUGACAUUUUACACUUCUGAAAAGCUGAGAUAAUGGGACACCUGUUGUGGAAUGUUUUCUGAGGCCACGUGGUACUAUUUCUGCAUCCUCUGCUCAGCCACAUGCUACCAAGCUGUAGGAGGUCGCACAGGGAUAUGAGGUACCUGGAAUCACCUUCCAGAAAACAGACAUUGAUUUUCAGGGCCAAGGAAAGAUUCAAAUCUUUUCAAGAGAAAGGAAGCUAGUUGAAUAUUCCUGUGAUUCACAUAAAUCCAAUCAAUGUCUUCAAGGUCUUACAUUCUCAUUGGAAGUAUCUUCUUAGGAAAAUUAAGCUUUUAAAUCACAGAAAAUUAAUAAGAAUGUAUGAAGUAUAUUUGCUUUUCAUGUUAAAUUCUGCUAGGUGUUUAGCUUCCAUUUUAGCCAAAUAAGUUGAAUAUGAUAUAUAUAACAAACCAAUGGAUUUAUUGCUUUAGUUUAUGAGACAUAUUGUCCAUGAUAAGGUAACACAGAACAUGAUUAAUUCUGUAUACAUAUUUGAAUUGAAAUUGAAAUUUGCAUAUCAUACCAGGAGUAUGAAUACUGUAAGUGAACAACUGUUUAUUUUGUGCUGAGUUUGAGAGGAGCUUCUGUAUGUGAAUCUAAUAUUCUAGCAGAUAUGAAAAUACAUACACAGGAAGAAACCCAUUAACAAAGAAGAAUCUGUGCCUUAAAUUUAUAAAAUUAUUAUUUUUUAAAAAGCAUGCUUUUAAACUCUGUAUUAAUAUUUUCUAGAAAGUGUUAGCUUAAUGGUUUAAGUUGAAGACACUAUUGUAUUGUCCUCCAUGAUAUUAAAUAUCUGAUAUAUUUAAACUCUGAUAUGCAGUAGAGUUUAAGAACUCUUUGUUACUCUAUUAUGCAAAUAACCAUUGGCCAAUAGACGACCUUGUGAAAUCUAGCAUGGAUCAUUAAUGAGAGUUAAGUCACCUAACAUUGCAGAAAGCAAGAUGUGAAACAAGGGAACUGGACUUUAUUUAUUCCUUUACAUUUUCAGCAACUGUGCCCUUUUUGUCUCUACCUGCAACAGCUAUAGAUCUUCUAAAUCAACUGAAAGAGAACUGUGAAAUGGACAUGUUGAAGUUCGCCCACAGCUGGUUUCCAAAGAGGACUCAGACUCUGCAAAUUUUCCUCAACUUCAAAUCCAUUUUUAAAACACUUUUAAAAGAAAAAAAUACUAAAUACACAGUGAUGUCUUUAUUUUCUCUUGCUUCCCUGUAGUCAAAAUGCAUUUGUUCACAGGUCCUGCUCUCCUGAGGUCUCCUUUCUGAAGAAAGCCUUCUAGAAGAUUGAAUGCGACACAGUAACAAUGUCACAGAAUUUCUCCUCCUGGGCCUCACUCAGGAUCCCAGUGCAAAAACAGCAUUAUUUGUCAUGUUUUUACUCAUCUACUCUGUGACAAUGCUGGACCACCUGCUCAUCAUGGGAGCUACCUGAGACAUCGGGAGUUAUCCUCAGUGAAAGAGACCUUGAGUUUUCCAGACAUAGGAACAGAUGCAAAAUGUGAAAACAUAGAACAACUGAUAGUGGAUACUCGCUGAAAAUGCCUGUGACACACAAAAAUCCACUACUGCCUUACACUUUCAUGGGGAAGCAAAACCAGCUGCUUCCAUUGCUGGCUUAUUUUUGCAGUCACCAGCAAUGUUUCCAGUAUGAACAUCUUUGACAGGCACAUUCUUGACACCGGAACUCAUACUCUAUUAUUUCAUUAUUUCUGCUAUGAGCUGAUUUCAUUUCCUAAAUUUUGGUGUAAAUUUUGGUUAUUUAUGUGAGUUCCUUUUUAAGUACAGAUUUUUGUUGCAAUAAAGUUUAGUCUUUGUACUGUAUUUCCUUUGUACUUCUUUGUGCUCUAUGUUUUACAUAGUGUGAAUAUAAGAAUGUCAGCAACUAAAUGGCAAGAAAAAAGUAAAUAAAGAAGGAGACAUGAGAAAAUUGUGUCAAUAGAAAUUUUCAAAAGAAAACAUACAAGUGGCCAAGAGUUACGUAAAAGGCAGUCAAUGUUACUAAUUGUCAGGGCAAAUCCAAGUCAAAGCACAGGGAGAUAUGACCUCACAUCUGUUACAGCAGUUGUUAUAAAAAUGACAAAGAUAACAAAUUUGGUCAGGAUGUGGAGAAAGAAACGCUGUACACUGUUGGAAAUCUCAACUGGUACAGUUAAAGAAGACUGUAUGGAGGUUCCCCUCAAAAUUAAAAGUAGAACUACAACAUCAAGCAGCAAAACUACUUCUGGGUAUUUAUCCAAGAGAAAUAAAAAAAUUGAUCUCAAAGUGAUCUUAACACUACAGCAUUUAUCACAAGAAUCAAUAUAUAAGAACACUAAAGUGUCCAUCACUUAAUGAAUGGAUAAACAAAAUGUGAUGCACAAAAAUGUAUACUAUAAUCCCAUUGUUAUAUGUGUGUCAUUAUUUACAUGUAAG
rnacentral:lncRNA from 1 species